AAAACAAUUACGCUGUUAUCCCCCAAGUAACUUAAUCUAUUAAUCUUUUUAAAGGAUCAAUUUUUUUUAUUUUAAUUAAAAUAAUAAUAGGAAUGAAGAUAUAAUUUCAUUUCCACCCCAGUUAAACUUUGUUUCCUUUAUAAGAAUUUUACACAAAGUAAAGAUUCAGGGGGUCUUCUCGUCCUCUUAUUUUUUAUUUCUUCUUUUUCAAAGAAAAAUUAAAUUAAAAAAAUAAAAUUGAGACAACAUUAUUCUCAUAAACCCUAUCAUACAAUUUUACAAUUAAUAAACUAAUUAUUAUGCUACCUUUGCAA
rnacentral:rRNA from 1 species